CAGUAGCCGCGGUAAUACAGAGGGUGCGAGCGUUAAUCGGAUUUACUGGGCGUAAAGCGUGCGUAGGCGGCUUCUUAAGUCGGAUGUGAAAUCCCUGAGCUUAACUUAGGAAUUGCAUUCGAUACUGGGAAGCUAGAGUAUGGGAGAGGAUGGUAGAAUUCCAGGUGUAGCGGUGAAAUGCGUAGAGAUCUGGAGGAAUACCGAUGGCGAAGGCAGCCAUCUGGCCUAAUACUGACGCUGAGGUACGAAAGCAUGGGGAGCAUACAGGAUUAGAUACCCCAGUAGUCCCUGUCUCUUAUAC
rnacentral:rRNA from 1 species